GGGAAGGAGGGAUAGAGAGAGAUUUGUUAAAGGAUACAAAAUUACAGGGAGAUAGGAGGAAUGAGUUUUAGUGUUUCAUACCACUGUAGGAUGACUGUAACAACAAUUCAUCG